GAUGAACGCUGGCGGCGUGCCUAAUACAUGCAAGUCGAACGGUCCGCAAGGAUAGUGGCGAACGGGUGAGUAACCCGUUGGUGACCUGCCCCGCAGUGGGGGAUAACGGAUCGAAAGGUCCGCUAAUACCGCAUAAGCUCUUGGUUGUUAGAGGAUCAAGAGGAAAGCCGAAAGGCGCUAAGGGAGGGACCUGCGUCCCAUCAGCUAGUUGGUAAGGUAGUGGCUUACCAAGGCGAUGACGGGUAGGGGACCUGAGAGGGUGACCCCCCACAAUGGAACUGAAACACGGUCCAUACACCUACGGGUGGCAGCAGUAGGGAAUAUUGGUUAAUGGGCGAAAGCCUGACGCAGCAACGCCGCGUGCGGGAUGAAGGCCCUCGGGUUGUAAACCGCUUUCAGUGGGGACGAACCAAGACGGUACCCACAGAAGAAGCCCCGGCCAACUACGUGCCAGCCGCCGCUGUAAAAC
rnacentral:rRNA from 1 species